GACGGAGGGGACUAGCGUUGUUCGGAAUUACUGGGCGUAAAGCGCACGUAGGCGGAUUUGUAAGUCAGGGGUGAAAUCCCGGGGCUCAACCCCGGAACUGCCUUUGAUACUGCGAAUCUCGAGUCCGGAAGAGGUGAGUGGAAUUCCUAGUGUAGAGGUGAAAUUCGUAGAUAUUAGGAAGAACACCAGUGGCGAAGGCGGCUCACUGGUCCGGUACUGACGCUGAGGUGCGAAAGCGUGGGGAGCAAACAGG
rnacentral:rRNA from 1 species